CGGAGGGUGCAAGCGUUAUCCGGAUUCACUGGGUUUAAAGGGUGCGUAGGUGGCUAUUUAAGUCAGUGGUGAAAGCCCGCGGCUCAACCGUGGAAUUGCCAUUGAAACUGAGUAGCUUGAGUACAGUUGAAGUGGGCGGAAUACAUCAUGUAGCGGUGAAAUGCUUAGAUAUGAUGUAGAACACCGAUUGCGAAGGCAGCUCACUAAGCUGUAACUGACACUGAGGCACGAAAGCGUGGGUAGCGAACAGGAUUAGAUACCCUGGUAGUCCACGCCCUAAACGAUGUCAACUGGUUGUUGGGUCUUUACUGACUCAGUAACGAAGCUAACGCGUGAAGUUGACCGCCUGGGGAGUACGGCCGCAAGGUUG
rnacentral:rRNA from 1 species